rnacentral:rRNA from 1 species
CCUACGGGAGGCAGCAGUGGGGAAUAUUGGACAAUGGGCGAAAGCCUGAUCCAGCAAUGCCGCGUGUGUGAAGAAGGCCUGCGGGUUGUAAAGCACUUUCGGUAGGAAAGAAAGGACCGUCGCUAAUACCGGCGGUUCUUGACGUUACCUACAGAAGAAGCACCGGCUAACUCUGUGCCAGCAGCCGCGGUAAUACAGAGGGUGCGAGCGUUAAUCGGAAUUACUGGGCGUAAAGAGCACGUAGGUGGUUAUAUAAGUCACUUGUGAAAUGCCUGAGCUCAACUUGGGCCUGUCGAGUGAAACUGUAUAGCUUGAGUUCUGUAGAGGGUAGUGGAAUUUCUGGUGUAGCGGUGAAAUGCGUAGAUAUCAGAAGGAACACCCGUGGCGAAGGCGGCUACCUGGACAGAAACUGACACUGAGGUGCGAAAGCGUGGGUAGCGAACAGGAUUAGAUACCCUGGUAGUCCACGCCGUAAAUGGUGUCAACUAGCUGUUGGUACUUUAUAAGUACGAGUAGCGAAGCUAACGCGCUAAGUUGACCGCCUGGGGAGUACGGCCGCAAGGUUAAAACUCAAAGGAAUUGACGG